rnacentral:rRNA from 1 species
UUGAACGCUGGCGGCAUGCUUUACACAUGCAAGUCGAACGGUAACAGGUUAAGCUGACGAGUGGCGAACGGGUGAGUAAUGCAUCGGAACGUGCCCGAUCGUGGGGGAUAACGCAGCGAAAGCUGCGCUAAUACCGCAUACGAUCUGAGGAUGAAAGCGGGGGACCGUAAGGCCUCGCGCGAUCGGAGCGGCCGAUGUCAGAUUAGGUAGUUGGUGGGGUAAAGGCUCACCAAGCCGACGAUCUGUAGCUGGUCUGAGAGGACGACCAGCCACACUGGGACUGAGACACGGCCCAGACUCCUACGGGAGGCAGCAGUGGGGAAUUUUGGACAAUGGGCGCAAGCCUGAUCCAGCCAUGCCGCGUGCGGGACGAAGGCCUUCGGGUUGUAAACCGCUUUCAGCCGGAAAGAAAUCGUCAAGGCUAAUAUCCUUGAUGGAUGACGGUACCGGAAGAAGAAGCACCGGCUAACUACGU